AAGUUGGCAUAGAUUUUAGAGUUCAAUUGGAAGUAAAUGUUUUGUAUUAUAGUUACAGUACGUUAUAGUCGGAAAUUGGAUACGCAAUGGUUUUCUAUUUUACUUGUUGUUUCACAACAAAAGUUGGGAAUGCCCUCAUUGCAGCUACAGGGAUAAAUAUACAGAGAGAGUGAGAGGUCUGCAAAGUUAUGCAUAAUGUGGACACAGCACAGCGAGGAGAUGCCAAAGGACGAAGGACCAAAACCAGAAGCAGGACCAACAGAAGCUUAGGAAUUAUGUCUUAUUAUUUUGCCUGCAGCCUGUGGACGAGGCGAAGAACAAUGGCAAAUCACACAGCCAGGACCAAAAGCAGGACUCUAAAGCCGGCAAUCGGGUUGUUGUCCUGGCACUGCACCAAAGUCGCAAUCUCAACGCCUCCAUUCUGUCUCUCUGCCUGACUUGUCUUUAAUGUCUUUAUGCUUCGGCCAAAUGUUGGCUGCUCUAUAGAAUCGCCACACAGAGAAAAACAUUAGAGCAAUACCGAUACUUGGAAGGCAGGAGGUAAAUAUUUGGCAACCAGCUAAGAUAUAAAAAAAAGCGCAAAAAGUGAUGCUGACAAUAAAGACGAUUAUAAGGAGUUCCUGGAAGGCGUAUCCUACCAAACUGCCUCGUUCCAUGAAAAAGCCCUUCUUCACCCCCUUCUUAACCACUUUAAAAUGAAGCGAAAAAUUCCACAGGCAGAUGUUUUGCCACAGCAGCAAGAAAAAAAAAACUUAAUUACACUUUAGAUUGGCACUUUAAAGCCGAGAUUGAAGGCCGAAACGGAGACAGGGAAGUGAUGCACAUACAAAAACGGAGACUUGCGGAAGGAAGGGGCGCCACACUUUAAGUAUCUUUUAGGGAAGCAGCUGCUGCUGCAGUUGCCUUUUUAUGUAAAAGAUAUAACAACCACAAAAAAAAAAAAGAAAAAAUA